AUUGAACGCUGGCGGCAUGCCUUACACAUGCAAGUCGAACGGCAGCACGGGAGCAAUCCUGGUGGCGAGUGGCGAACGGGUGAGUAAAGUAUCGGAAUGUGCACAGUCGUGGGGGAUAACGUAGCGAAAGUUACGCUAAUACCGCAUACGAUCAAUGGAUGAAAGCGGGGGAUCGCAAGACCUCGCGCGAUUGGAGCGGCCGAGAUCAGAUUAGGUAGUUGGUGGGGUAAAGGCUCACCAAGCCGACGAUCUGUAGCUGGUCUGAGAGGACGACCAGCCACACUGGGACUGAGACACGGCCCAGACUCCUACGGGAGGCAGCAGUGGGGAAUUUUGGACAAUGGGCGAAAGCCUGAUCCAGCCAUGCCGCGUGCAGGAUGAAGGCCUUCGGGUUGUAAACUGCCUUUGUACGGAACGAAAAGGUUUGGCCUAAUAAGCUGAGCUCAUGACGGUACCGUAAGAAUAAGCACCGGCUAACUACGUGCCAGCAGCCGCCGUAA
rnacentral:rRNA from 1 species